AACCUGUCAAAACCGUAGGGUCGGCAACGAAGGCACCGCUGAUACCGUUCAUUAUCAACGAUGGGGACACGGGCAGCGUUGCCGGGGACGACGGUUUCGCCGCCACUGCCACUGCCACCACUGCCACCGCCGCCCCGAGAGCUGAACGGCCCCCGCCACGUGCGCCGUCCGUAGCGUGGUCGGAAGCAUCAGAUUCUCGUCCUUUCUCUCCUUUUCUCAACCCUGAUAAACCUUCCUGAGGCUAAGAAUGGAAGACAAUCACCGGAUAAGGCCAUGCUUGGACGAGUGACAACUCCAUGCGGCGAGCCGGUGAGACAGCAAUUAUUAUUGCACCACACUGCACUGUCCUCACCGUCUGUCCUUCUGCUGUUUCGCGGGGCGAGCAACGCGCGGCAACUUCCACGGCCGUCGUCGACAAUCAACCAUAAUAAUAUAGAAGUUAUGCCGCUGCCCGGCUUCCGGCCGCUGGUGUGUAGACGCUGACUAAGCUCGCUGUGCUUGCUUGCUUGCUGCUGCUGCUGUAUUGCCGUGUAGGUGCUAACUGAUAGAAGCUUGCUGCCGACACCCUGCUCUGCUGUGCACGCUGGGUUAGCAGCAGCUUGUAGUAUGCAGCCGGGAUCAACGUUAACGCUUGUAUUCCGUGAAGCAACCGUUUUAACGUCACUAGCAUGAUGGCAUUCCGUCAGUGGUGGUAUUACCUGGUGACGACGACAAUUGCAUUUCCUUCCUGGGGAAGACUGUUAUUUUGAUUGAUGGGAAUGCUGUACAGAUUGGUUAAAUACGACCUCUUUUCAAUGUAGUUUCAGUGAAGUGGAACACCGAGUCAGAUCUCCUGCCUGCCUUCUGCAGUGCAUGCGCAUCACACUCAUACACACUCGUAUGCACAUACUGUGCAUGCACGUCACAUUCAAAUCAAACACACACACACGUACGUGUCACACGAUUGUGUUCCGCCGCUUGGAAACCGUAUAUUUAUCGCGCGUAGACUCGUAAUAAUUUAUUUUUCUCGUUGCAGAAUCACCAUUGUCACUUCGACGUCUGCGGCGUGACAGUGUUUUAUUUCACCGCUAACCGACAAAGAGACACUUCGGCCUUAUUCGCUGGACGUCUCAACCUUAGAUAUACUAGAUGGUGCUACCAAUUUUGCCUAAUGAAUAUAUAUUAUUGCAUCCUCACCAGUGAGAACAAGCCUUCCAUAACAAUAAUUAUAAUUCUGUAAAACUAA